GACUGCUCCUAUGUGGAGAUUCUACAGUGAGUGUCUUGACUGUGAGCCUCAACAGUGGCAUGAGAUGGGAGGUCACAAAGACUUAACAGAAGGUAGCAAAUGAUUACACAAAAGAGAAGAUGUCACACCCAUGUCUCUUGGAUGCUGAAACAUGACAUUAGAACAGAAUGCCAAUGUGUAACUCUGCAGCUCUGCACAGAACUAUCUGAAGAAGCAGAGCCAAAGGCAAGCAUUCAAGUCCCCAGUACCCAGGUCACUUACUCAUCAUCUUCCCGAGGCCUCUUCAGGGGUUUGGAGUCCUCUUUAGGAGAAGCAUAAAACCCGUCAUCAUCUGG